CAGACAGACAGAAAACACAGGUAUAAAUACACAGGGGAUUAUGGGGAAGAUGGGUAACACUUAGAGAUGGUGGAGACAAGCACAAGGACAGGUGAAACAGAUCAGGGUGUGACAUAUAGAGCUUGAUAGAGGCUGAAUGUCUCAAAGAAGUAGAUCCUGCAAAGCAGCAUUCAAGUGUUUUUACAAUUAUUGUUCCCUUGAAUUAUCACGUGCUUGUAUUAUAAAGUGAGUUUCAUUUUUUUUUAAUGGCCCAUUCGCGUUGCAUUUAGAUGCUGUUUCCGAAGACAAGCCAUUUUUGUGUUUAUUUUUACUCAUACACUGCAUAUUUUGUGCUUGUUUCAGUAUUGAUAAUGUGUUUUAAAAUCAAUAGAGACAAAACAUAUCGAUGAAAAGACAAAAUACAACGUUUGACAAAUAUAAAUUCAGUUAGGAAUAAAAAAAAAAAUUGUUCAAGUUUUUACAGAAAAUCACUAUUUUUACAUAGAAGCUGAAUUUACCAAAUGAGAAGACCAAACCAGCUCUUGCUAAGAAAGAAAGAAAUUGCCCAAUUCUUGAGAUUAAUUGUGUCUUCUCUGAUGAUUGUUUUAGAAGCUGAAGUUCACAAAGAAAAUGCCAAAGCAGCUUCCUCAAAGAAAGAGUCCAAGGAAACUAAGGAACAAGCCAAACCAGAACCUACAAUAAAAGGUACAGAUAGGAUAUUUGUUUUCUGGCUUCAAAAUGUAUAAUGGCCCAAUUCUUGAGAUUCAUGUUGUGUCUUGUCCAAUGAUUGUUUUAGACAGUGAAGUUCCCAAAGAACAAACCAUAGCAGCUACAUCAAAGAAAGGUGCAAAUUAUUCUUUGUGUACCACAGAUCUAGAUCGGUACACAGAUCUAGUUUACAAAAUAAUUUUUCUCUGAUUUAGAUGCUGAAGCAAAAGAAAAGGCCAAAUUAGCUCCAGAAAAGAAAGGUAUGAAAUUAUUUUUGAAUUGUUAAUUUUCCGCUUAUUCAAAUAAUAAGUAGGCAGCCUAUGUGUCCAUUUUAUGCUAUUUAUAAAACAUUCAAUAAGUUAUUAUUGUAAGGACUGUUGUACGUGAACUUAGAAGCUGAAGUUUCCAAAGAAAAAGCCAAAGUAACUCCUUCAAAUGAAGGUAACAGAAUGUAUUGAUUUUUAACACCACCAAUAUAAUAUUACAGACAGUACAUAAUCUCAGAGAAAAAAAAACAUCCUGCUAUAUUCAUAGAGAAACACAAUUAUGUUGCUUUUGAUUCAGAUGCUGCAGUUAUUAAAGAAAAGAUCAAAUCAGCCCCUACAAAGAAAGGUAAGAAUGUGGUUAGUAUGUAAUUAGGAAUUUGUUAUAAUAUUUGUUUGCAUUGUGUUGUAUUUAUUUAAAUUCACGG
rnacentral:lncRNA from 1 species